UGCGCAGGUGGCCAGGUGUGUGAGGCGUGAAAGCCCGGAGCUCAACUCCGGAAUUGCACCUCAAACUACAUGGCUAGAACAUUGGAGAGGGGAGCAGAAUUCACGGUGUAGCAGUGAAAUGCGUAGAUAUCGUGAGGAAUACCAGAGGCGAAGGCGGCUCCCUGGACAAUUGCUGACACUCAGGCACGAAAGCGUGGGGAGCAAAAGGGAUUAGAUACCCCUGUAGUCCACGCCCUAAACGGUGCACACUAGGUCUUGGAGGAUUCGACCCCUUCAGGGCCCAAGCUAACGCGUUAAGUGUGCCGCCUGAGGACUACGGCCGCAAGGCUAAA
rnacentral:rRNA from 1 species